rnacentral:rRNA from 1 species
AUUGAACGCUGGCGGCAUGCUUUACACAUGCAAGUCGAACGGUAACAGGCCGCAAGGUGCUGACGAGUGGCGAACGGGUGAGUGAUGCAUCGGAACGUGCCCAGUCGUGGGGGAUAACUACUCGAAAGAGUAGCUAAUACCGCAUACGAUCUAUGGAUGAAAGCGGGGGACCGUAAGGCCUCGCGCGAUUGGAGCGGCCGAUGUCAGAUUAGGUAGUUGGUGGGGUAAAGGCUCACCAAGCCAACGAUCUGUAGCUGGUCUGAGAGGACGACCAGCCACACUGGGACUGAGACACGGCCCAGACCCCUACGGGAGGCAGCAGUGGGGAAUUUUGGACAAUGGGCGCAAGCCUGAUCCAGCAAUGCCGCGUGCAGGAAGAAGGCCUUCGGGUUGUAAACUGCUUUUGUACGGAACGAAACGGCUCUGGUUAAUACCCGGGGCUAAUGACGGUACCGUAAGAAUAAGCACCGGCUAACUACGUG